GACGAACGCUGGCGGCGUGCUUAACACAUGCAAGUCGAACGGAAAGGCCCUGCUUUUUUGGGGUGCUCGAGUGGCGAACGGGUGUGUUACCUGUGAGUAACCUGCCCUUGACUUUGGGAUAACUUCAGGAAACUGCGGCUAAUACCGGAUAGGAGCUCCUGCUGCAUGGUGGGGGUUGGAACGUUUCGGCUGUUGGGGAUGUACUCGCGGCUUAUUAGCUUGUUGGUGGGGUAGUGGCUUACCAAGGCUUCGACGGGUAGCCGGCCUGGGAGGGCGACCGGCCACAUUGGGACUAAGAGACGGACCAGAGGGCUACGUGAGGCAGCAGUGGGGAAUAUUACACAAUGGGCGGGAGCCUGAUAAGACAACGCCGCGUUCGGGAUGACGGCCUUCGGGUUGUAAACCGCAUUCGCCUGUGACGAAGCGUGAGUGACGGUAAUGGGUAAAGAAGCACCGGCUAACUACGUG
rnacentral:rRNA from 1 species